rnacentral:rRNA from 1 species
GAGUGGCGAACGGGUGAGUAACACGUAGGUGACCUGCCUCGAAGAUGGGGAUAACUGUUGGAAACGGCAGCUAAUACCCAAUGCACUCGGUAAUUCGGUUUAUCGAGUAAAGCGCCCCUCACGGGGAUAGCGCUUCGAGAUGGGCCUGCGGCCUAUCAGCUAGUUGGUAGGGUAAUGGCCUACCAAGGCGAGGACGGGUAGGGGGCGUGAGAGCGUGACCCCCCACACUGGCACUGAGACACGGGCCAGACUCCUACGGGAGGCAGCAGUCGGGGAUAUUGCGCAAUGGACGAAAGUCUGACGCAGCGACGCCGCGUGAGUGAUGAAGGCCUUCGGGUUGUAAAACUCUUUUAUGGGGGAGGAGGAAGGACGGUACCCCAUGAAUAAGCGUCGGCUAACUACGUGCCAGCAGCCGCGGUAAAACGUAGGACGCAAGCGUUAUCCGGAUUUACUGGGCGUAAAGAGCGUUGAGGCGGUUCUGUAAGUUGGGCGUGAAAGCCCUCGGCUUAACUGAGGGACGCCGUCCAAUACUGCAGGACUUGAGGGCAGCAGAGGGAGGUGGAAUUCCCGGUGUAGCGGUGAAAUGCGUAGAGAUCGGGAGGAACACCAGUGGCGAAGGCGGCCUCCUGGGCUGCUUCUGACGCUGAAUGCGAAAGCUAGGGUAGCGAACGGGAUUAGAAACCCCGGUAGUCCUAGCUGUAAACGAUGGAUGCUAGGUGUAGGAGGUAUAGAUCCCUUCUGUGCCGAAGCUAACGCGAUAAGCAUCCCGCCUGGGGAGUACGGCCGCAAGGCUAAAACUCAAAGGAAUUGACGGGGGCCCGCACAAGCAGCGGAGCGUGUGGUUUAAUUAGAUGCUACACGAAGAACGUUACCUGGGUUUGACAUGUAGGUAGUAGUGAAGCAGAAGAGCGGAACGACCCUUUGGGGAGCCUACACAGGUUCUGCAUGGCAGUUGUCAGCUCGUGCCGUGAGGUGUUGGGUUAAGUCCAGUAACGAGCGCAACCCCUGUCCUUAGUUACAAGUGUAUAAGGAGACUGCCGGCGACAAGCCGGAGGAAGGUGGGGAUGACGUCAAGUCAGCAUGGCCUUUAUGUCCAGGGCUACACACACGCUACAAUGGCCGGU